UAGGGAAUAUUGCACAAUGGAGGAAACUCUGAUGCAGCGACGCCGCGUGAGUGAUGAAGGCCUUCGGGUUGUAAAGCUCUGUCGCAUGGGAAUAAGAAAGUGAAUGUACCAUGCAAGAAAGGAUCGGCUAACUUCGUGCCAGCAGCCGCGGUAAGACGAGGGAUCCAAGCGUUGUUCGGAAUCAUUGGGCGUAAAGCGGGUGCAGGUGGCUUUGUAAGUCAGGUGUGAAAGCCUGGGGCUCAACCCCAGAAGUGCAUUUGAUACUGCGAAGCUUGAGUGCUGGAGAGGCUAUUAGAAUUCCAGGUGUAGUGGUGAAAUACGUAGAUAUCUGGAGGAAUACCGGAGGCGAAGGCGGAUAGCUGGCCAGACACUGACACUCAGACCCGAAAGCGUGGGGAUCAAACAGG
rnacentral:rRNA from 1 species